GCCAGGUGUCCUUUGCUAGAUUUGAGCCCUAGUGUUGAGAGGCCGGGGCUCCUCUGGCCUGUGUGUCCUCAGCUACUACUGCAGUGUCGGGCAGGCUCUCGCCUAACCUUAGGGGAUACCAUCCCCCUGAUUAUGAGAAAUUGAGAAUGAAUUAAAUGCAUAAAAAGGGUUGUCACAGAUCGACUCACCAAAGGAAAAGAAGAGAAAUAAAAUUAGUCUUGCUGUUCUUGCUUCCAGCUAGGGGUGGAAUGAAGGCAAAGUGCGUGCUGGAGGAGGCAGAGAGAGAGGAAUUGGAGAUGCCAGGAAGGCAGGGGAGACCGUGCAUCUGACUUGAGGGCGUUGUUCAGCAUAGACCGGACUUGCUGAGUGAAUGAGUGCACAGAGGCAGCAACCAGAGGUAUGAGACUGCCAAGGAAGAGAAGAAGUGGAGGGAGGAGGAGGACCUCAAGGGAAAUUUGCAUCCGGAAGCGGGAAAGAUAAAGCAGCGCUAGAGGGAAGCACUCUCUGAGAGGCCAGAGACAGC
rnacentral:lncRNA from 1 species